GGUCAAGUGACUAAGCGUGCACGGUGGAUGCCUUGGCAGUCAGAGGCGAUGAAGGACGUGGUAAUCUGCGAUAAGCGUUGGUAAGCCGAUAAACGGGCAUUGAACCAGCGAUUUCCGAAUGGGGAAACCCACUCACAUAAGUGAGUAUCCUGGAACUGAAUACAUAGGUACCAGGAAGCGAACCCGGGGAACUGAAACAUCUAAGUACCCGGAGGAAAAGAAAUCAACUGAGAUUCCCCUAGUAGCGGCGAGCGAACGGGGAUUAGCCCUUAAGCUUGGUAUGGUUUAGCAGAACGCUCUGGAAAGUGCGGCAAUAGAGGGUGAUAGCCCCGUAUGCGAAAAGCCAUAUUGAGUGAAAUCGAGUAGGUCGGGACACGAGAAAUCUUGACUGAAACGUCUUCGGACAAGGGGGGACCAUCCUCCAAGGCUAAAUACUCCUGACUGACCGAUAGUGAACUAGUACCGUGAGGGAAAGGCGAAAAGAACCCCGUUGAGGGGAGUGAAAUAGACCCUGAAACCGUGUACGUACAAUCAGUGGGAGCAGACUUGUUCUGUGACUGCGUACCUUUUGUAUAAUGGGUCAGCGACUUACAUUUCGUGGCAAGGUUAACCGUAUAGGGAAGCCGUAGGGAAACCGAGUCUUAAUAGGGCGAACAUAGUCGCGGGGUGUAGACCCGAAACCGAGCGAUCUAGCCAUGAGCAGGUUGAAGAUCAGGUAACACUGAUUGGAGGACCGAACCCACCGUCGUUGAAAAGCCGGGGGAUGACUUGUGGCUAGGAGUGAAAGGCUAAUCAAGCUCGGAGAUAGCUGGUUCUCCUCGAAAGCUAUUUAGGUAGCGCCUCGUGUCUCACCAUUGGGGGUAGAGCACUGUUUGGGCUAGGGGGUCAUCCCGACUUACCAACCCCAUACAAACUCCGAAUACCAAUGAGUGCAAUCACGGGAGACACACGGCGGGUGCUAACGUCCGUCGUGAAAAGGGAAACAACCCAGACCGUCAGCUAAGGUCCCAAAGUAAUAGUUAAGUGGGAAACGAUGUGAGAAGGCUCAGACAGCCAGGAGGUUGGCUUAGAAGCAGCCAUCCUUUAAAGAAAGCGUAAUAGCUCACUGGUCGAGUCGGCUCGCGCGGAAGAUUUAACGGGGCUUAAACUAUUCACCGAAGCUACGGGUUCGAUACAUUGUAUCGAGCGGUAGAGGAGCGUUCUGUAAGCCGUUGAAGGUCAAGCCGAGAGGCAGACUGGAGGUAUCAGAAGUGCGAAUGCUGACAUGAGUAACGAUAAAGGGGGUGAGAAGCCCCCUCGCCGGAAGACCAAGGUUUCCUGCGCAACGCUAAUCGGCGCAGGGUGAGUCGGCCCCUAAGGUGAGGUCGAAAGACGUAAUCGAUGGGAAACAGGUUAAUAUUCCUGUACCUCUUUUGACUGCGACGGAGUGACGGAGAAGGCUAGGCUAUCGCGGCGUUGGUUGUCCGCGUUUAAGGUGGUAGGCUGAGGACUUAGGCAAAUCCGGGUUCUUAAAGCCGAGAGCUGAUGACGACUGAUCUUUUACGAUCGGGAAGUAGUCGAUGCCAUGCUUCCAGGAAAAACUUCUAAGCUUCAGGUCAUUAGAGACCGUACCCCAAACCGACACAGGUGGUCAGGUAGAGAAUACCAAGGCGCUUGAGAGAACUCGGGUGAAGGAACUAGGCAAAAUGGUACCGUAACUUCGGGAGAAGGUAUGCCCCUUCUGGUGAUCGGACUUGCUCCGUAAGCUGGAAGGGGUCGCAGAGACCAGUUGGCUGCGACUGUUUAUUAAAAACACAGCACUGUGCAAACACGAAAGUGGAAGUAUACGGUGUGACGCCUGCCCGGUGCUGGAAGGUUAAUUGAUGGGGUUAUCUAACGAGAAGCUCUUGAUCGAAGCCCCAGUAAACGGCGGCCGUAACUAUAACGGUCCUAAGGUAGCGAAAUUCCUUGUCGGGUAAGUUCCGACCUGCACGAAUGGCGUAACGAUGGCCAAGCUGUCUCCACCCGAGACUCAGUGAAAUUGAAAUCGCUGUUAAGAUGCAGUGUAUCCGCGGCUAGACGGAAAGACCCCGUGAACCUUUACUAUAGCUUCACAGUGGAUCUUGAUGUUGCUUGUGUAGGAUAGGUGGGAGGCUUUGAAGCGUGGAUGCUAGUCCAUGUGGAGCCACCCUUGAAAUACCACCCUGGCAACAUUGAGGUUCUAACCUAGAUCCCUUAUCGGGAUUGGGGACAUUGUGUGGUGGGUAGUUUGACUGGGGCGGUCUCCUCCUAAAGAGUAACGGAGGAGCACGAAGGUGCGCUAAGUACGGUCGGAUAUCGUAUGGUUAGUGUAAAGGCACAAGCGCGCUUGACUGCGAGACGGACAUGUCGAGCAGGUACGAAAGUAGGUCUUAGUGAUCCGGUGGUUCUGUAUGGAAGGGCCAUCGCUCAACGGAUAAAAGGUACUCCGGGGAUAACAGGCUGAUACCGCCCAAGAGUUCACAUCGACGGCGGUGUUUGGCACCUCGAUGUCGGCUCAUCACAUCCUGGGGCUGAAGCCGGUCCCAAGGGUAUGGCUGUUCGCCAUUUAAAGUGGUACGCGAGCUGGGUUUAGAACGUCGUGAGACAGUUCGGUCCCUAUCUGCCGUGGACGUUGGAAGUUUGAGAAGAGCUGCUCCUAGUACGAGAGGACCGGAGUGGACGAACCUCUGGUGUUCGGGUUGUUUCGCCAGAAGCAUUGCCCGGUAGCUAUGUUCGGACAGGAUAACCGCUGAAAGCAUCUAAGCGGGAAGCCCCCUUCAAGAUGAGACUUCCCUGGGCACUUGAUGCCCCUAAAGAGCCGUUAAAGACUAUGACGUUGAUAGGCUGGGUGUGUAAGCACUGUAAGGUGUUGAGCUAACCAGUACUAAUGACUCGUGCGGCUUGACCAU
rnacentral:rRNA from 1 species